GAAGAGAAGGAGCUUAAGAGCUAGCCUCUUUUGCCUUUCUUUCUUUCGAGGUAACUGCUUAUCAGAUGUCAAAGAUGAUUGAUUGAUUGAGCAUAUAUUUUUGUGCCACUGUGUGCCAGGCACUGUUCAGUGCUGCUAUGUGUUUUGGGGGGCAUGGCGUUGGGGGAGUGUACCAGGGAUUGACCUCAGGGGCACUCAACCACUGAGCCACAUCCCAGCCCUUUUUUGUAUUUUAUUUAGAGACAGGGUCUCACUGAGUUGCUUAGUGUCUUGGUUUUUGCUGAGGCUGGCUUUGAACUUGGGAUCCUCCUGCCUCAGCCUGCUGAGCCACUGGGAUUACAGGCGUGGGCACCACCACACCAGGCUGCUGUGUGCUCUUCACGUAGCAUAUCACUGAAUAAGUUCAGCAUCCAGGUAACUGGACAGCAAGGUUAAUAGCACCAGGAGGGAAAUACCGAGAUAGCAGCAGGUAAAAAGGAGCAUUCAGCUCUAGUUUGCUUCGUAGUCAUACAUGUGUGUCUUAUCUGCUCUAUGCGGUCCCACAUGGUGGAACCUUCUCUAUCAUGUUGACAACUUCAUUUGUCUGGAAAGCCAGAAGCAAAUAUGGAAGUCGUUGGGAAGACUUGACACUCUGAAUGAAGACUUUGAAGAACACUUAAGAGCUUAUCUGUAGGACUUUGAAAACCCUGACCCCUCCUUAUCCUGUGGGCUUUGAAACCCACUCUCAGGUGAAUGUUCAGCAGGUGUUCUCCAGAGAGAGAGGGCAGGAUCUGAAGGUGGGAGCUUGGUGUGGUGAGGUCAGUGUCCACCCAACUGGACGUUGGGUCUGCAGAGGGUGUUAAUAGGAGGCUUGGACUCGGGAGGCAGCAGGACUCGGGCUCACAAGGACAUGGUCACCUGAUAACUCUAAAUGAGUCUCUGAGCUCCAGAAUUGCACCCAAAGGAUGCCCUUCUUCUGUCCAGCCCCUCUGUCCCAGAUUGAUCUUGGAAGUGAGCCCUCCAAGUGACCUCUCAGCACUCCAGCCUCUCUCCCUGGUAUGAGAUUAGAAAUUUUAAAAUUCCAGCCACAAGCACUCAGGGCUACAAAAUGAAGAGAUUUUUUUUUUCAUGAGUUCAGUUAUAAAAAUAGCAACAAUUCUUGAAAGGAGACGUUUAUGUUGGGUUAGUGCCAGUUGCAACGUUGUUGUGUGUGUGUGUGUGUGUGUGUAAUUGUGGCUUCUUGAACAUGGUAAGUUUCUUCCCUGGUGGGGAAGGGGAGAGGUCUGACUUUGGGUUUGGUUCUCUUUCCACUGACCAGGGAAUCAGGAGUCAGCCCAUUUGAACCCCUGCUGCUGGUUUGCUGUGAUUUUGUGGGAAAAUCGGUCAGAUUGGCUUCCUCCCUUUUCUAUCCAUCCUUCCCUCCUGUUAAAACAGAUAAGGUGCCAUUAUGUAGUUGCACAGUUUGCUGCACAAAAGGGGAGGGAAAGAAUCUUUGCUCUUCCUGAGACAAGGCCAGAAUGGUAAAAUCAUUAAUUCAAGAAAUUUAAGUUAAAGGAAAAAAAAAAAAAGACUUGUUUGUAGAACAAGAUGGAGAAAAACAUGUUUCAGGCUGGCUAAUCUAAUCACUCCCAGAGAGCAGCCUGUUUUCUUACUUGCUGGAUCCCUUCCACUUUACAUUCUCACAGGGAACAAUAUAUUAAGUACAGUAUUUAGAAAUAUUUGUUGAAUCCUACUGUCUGAUUUUGGCAAGUCCCAAGGAAAAAAAGGAUAUGUCUUGGCCUGCUCGGGCCUUCUGGGGAGGACCUUGGAGCUUUCCCAGAAAGGCUGGCUUCCACUGUGGGAAACGCUGGCUCAGGAGAUAACGCUGUGGCGGUCUGGUUUCAGAGGGCACCGAGUUUGCUCUGGGUUUCUCGAGCACCAUAGCUGAUCUGAGUCUCCCUGUCUGAACUCCAAGUGUGGGUUAGCCUUUCCUCCUGUGAAUGCCGUCAUUUCCUCCUGCAGGGCUGCUAACUUUAACCCACUCUUCCUGUCCCCCAGCGAGUGGGCUGAGCUCACCGGCUCCAAAAUAUCCAGUGUGUGUGUGAGAACAGAGCGCGUGGCCAGUGAGAAUGGUCCCAAGCUGGGGCCUUCUGCACUGGGUGUCCGUGGCUGAGGCGACUGCUCCUGGGGAGCUCAGAGGCUUGGGUAAACCCUGAAGCGGAUUCUCUUUCAAUGUGGCCAUCCCAUGGCAUUGACGGAGUCCAUCUAGUUUGCGGUGGAAAUAAAGAUGAAAUAUUUCAGAAGUCAUGUUAUGGCUCCCGGACUCAAACGUAUGCUAAAAUAAAAGUGUUUCAUUACUAGGGAGAUAAGUGAAAUACAUUCUCUCAGCUUAAUGUAUCUGGCAUAAAACGGUUUUUAUGAAAUACUCACGCAAGGACUUUUCUUGCAGACUGAUUCCGCUGGUGGCUUCAAUGUGGAGUGGUUUUAUCUG
rnacentral:lncRNA from 1 species